rnacentral:rRNA from 1 species
GUAAGGAAUAUUCCACAAUGGGCGCAAGCCUGAUGGAGCAACGCCGCGUGCAUGAUGAAGCCCUUCGGGGUGUAAAAUGCUUUUCCGAGGGAUGAUACCAGACAGUACCUCGGGAAUAAGUCUCGGCUAACUACGUGCCAGCAGCCGCGGUAAUACGUAGGAGACGAGCGUUGUCCGGAAUUACUGGGCGUAAAGCGCGUGUAGGCGGACAAGCAAGUCUGCUGUGAAAGCUCCUGGCUUAACCGGGAGUGGGCGGUGGAAACUGCUUAUCUGGAGGACGGUAGAGGCUGGUGGAAUUCCCGGUGUAGUGGUGAAAUGCGUAGAGAUCGGGAGGAACACCUGUGGCGAAGGCGGCCAGCUGGGCCGGACCUGACGCUGAGACGCGAAGGCGUGGGGAGCGAAC